rnacentral:rRNA from 1 species
UACAGAGGUGGCAAGCGUUGUUCGGAAUUACUGGGCGUAAAGGGCUCGUAGGUGGCCAACUAAGUCAGACGUGAAAUCCCUCGGCUUAACCGGGGAACUGCGUCUGAUACUGGAUGGCUUGAGUUCGGGAGAGGGAUGCGGAAUUCCAGGUGUAGCGGUGAAAUGCGUAGAUAUCUGGAGGAACACCGGUGGCGAAGGCGACGUCCUGGACCGGCAUUGACGCUGAGGCGCGAAAGCCAGGGGAGCAAAGCGGG